rnacentral:misc_RNA from 1 species
GAGCGCGAAGCGCCGGAGCGCCGGGCCCACGCGGCGCAUUCAUCACUCGAGCGCGCGACAGGCUCGGGAGCGAGACCGCUCAGGGGUUCGCCUCGAGCGCGGCGA